rnacentral:ncRNA from 1 species
AUAUGAGGCCCAGUUAGAGGCCUCACUAACCUGGGGAGGUUAGAUAUCCAUCCGGGUAGCGGACACUCCGCCCCUACUGGAGGAACGGCAUCCAGAGGCCGGGUUAUCAGCCCCGGUCGGAACCGUUUC